UGACAGUAAAGGACUUAAACUCGGAAAUUUUUUCGGUUAAAUAUGCACUGCCAACAGCAAUAACACCGAAGAUCCGUUUCAGUACUUCACUUACUCAAGCUUCCUCUAAUGAAUGCAGAGGUAACAGCAAAGGAAAAAGUAAAUGAACUUACCUUUAGAAUGCAGAUGAAACAUGCAUGUUCAAUGUAACAACAAAAUUCUUGAAGGAUCAACCCGUAUAUUAUUUUUAUUUUUCGACAAUUCAAC